GGAGUGAUGAAGGCCUUCGGGUUGUAAAGCUCUGUGGGGCGAGACGAAUAAGUGCAGCCUAAUACGCUGCAUGAUGACGGUAUCGCCUUAGCAAGCACCGGCUAACUCUGUGCCAGCAGCCGCGGUAAGACAGAGGGUGCAAACGUUGUUCGGAAUUACUGGGCGUAAAGCGAGUGUAGGCGGUCUGAAAAGUCGGGUGUGAAAGCCCCGGGCUCAACCCGGGAAGUGCACUCGAAACUGCCAGGCUAGAGUAUCGGAGAGGUUGGUGGAAUUCUCGGUGUAGAGGUGAAAUUCGUAGAUAUCGAGAGGAACACCGGUGGCGAAGGCGGCCAACUGGACGAAUACUGACGCUGAGACUCGAAAGCGUGGGGAGCAAACAGGAUUAGAUACCCUGGUAGUCCACGCCGUAAACGAUGGGUGCUAGGUGCUGCGGGCUUUGACUCCCGCGGUGCCGUAGCUAACGCAUUAAGCACCCCGCCUGGGAAGUACGGCCGCAAGGCUA
rnacentral:rRNA from 1 species